rnacentral:sRNA from 1 species
AACAUCAGCUUUCCAAACCAGAUGUGGUAUCUCAGUUAGAGGAGGCAGAAGAUUUCUGGCCAGUGGAGAGAGGAAUUCCUCAAGACACCAUUCCAGCAUUCACUAGGAAACAGCACUGUGAGGAAGACAGCUGCCUAAGUCCUGUUUGUCACCCUGGAAGGGAAGCAGCAGAGAGGUAGAAAUAUCCUGAGAGAAGAAAAUAGUGUCAAGAGGGAGAAAGCAGCAGCUCCCAUCAGCCCUUAACCACAUGCUGUGCCUGGACUUUGGUAUCUAAUCACUUUGGGUGAAGAAACUCAGGCUCAAGAAGUUAAUCUCUCUUGAUUAAACCCCUUGCUCUG